AUGGUGGCUGCAGAGUUUGAAAGAUCUCAGAGGUCAGAGCCUUCCAUCGCAAUGGUCUCUCCCUCCUCCCCCGCCCAUUACGCUGCUUCCCCCCCCACCUCCGCUGCCUCCGCCCCGGCCUCCAUGUCCGCCCCCCCCACCGCCGCCGCUGUUCACGCUGCCACCACUCCCACCUCGGACAGCAUCUCCGCCCCGGCUUCUACCCUAACCAGCCUGGCCGCAGCGCCUUCGGCCCCUUCUGCACCCCCGACCGGUCUGGAGCUACUGGUCCUCACCUCGGUCGCCGGCCCUUCCUCCUCACCGUUACCGUCUUCCGCGUCCAACCUGAAAGCCGCCGCCGCUGUGCCCGCCUCCUCCGCUGCCCCCGUCCCCGACGUCCUCUCACCUCACGGCUCUAGCGGAAGCUCCGUUCCAGCUGCAAACUACGGGGAGACGGGACUGGCGGCCCCGGGCCAGCACGCGUCCGGAGGAGAUCACUCCACCUCGGUUGACCCUCGUCCUCUUCCCCCCGUUCUCGCCGCCGCUGCGGUCACCUCCCCCCCAGUCAGCCAGGUGAUGCAGGAGCAGCACCAGCAGCAGCAGCAGAUGUUGGCGCAGAUGGCCCAGCCAGCGCCGCCCAAAACCCAGCCGCAGCCGCCGACGCACCUUGCCCUGCAUCAGGUGCCGCAGCAGAUACUGCAGCAGGUGUCGCCGGCGCCGACGACGCCGCAGCUUCAAGGCUUACAACGCCAAGCCCUGCAGCUUCAGCAGCUACCAAUGGUGCCGCAGAUGCAGCAGGUCUUACCGCCACAACCGCAGCCAAUACAACAGCAGAUCUACCAAGAGCAAUUCAAAAUACCACAGGAGCAAAUACUGCAGCAGUCUUUCCAGGUGUUACAAUUACAACAACCCCCGUUACAGCAGCAACAUCCCAGCCAGACUGAGCCAGUGGUGCAGCAGCCAGUCAACCCUCAAAUUGCUCAAAUGCCGCCAGCGGAAUUGCACUCGGCGGCGCAGCAUGUGACUGGUCAACAGCAAACUCCACAGUACAGCACGCAGGUGCUACAGCAGCCCGCAGUGCAGCAGCUACCAUCUACCCCAGUGGCAGCAGUGUCUCUGCAGCAGGCCCAGGCCGACCCCCUGCAGCAACACCUAGCGCUGCAGCAGACAAUGCAGCUGCAGCAACAGCAAAGGCUCCAACAACAGCAACAGUUGCUGAUGUACGCUGCCUCAGUGCAGCCCGACCCGGUGCAGACACUUCCCCAGUCGGUCAGUCAGCAGUUUGUCCCGCAGCAGAGGGCGCAGCCUUCCAAUGCCAGCUACGUCCAGCCAAACACGCUUCCACCACCGCCAACAGCGCAGGUCCCCGUGGAGCAGCUGCAGCAGCCCCUGCAGCCACAGCAGCCGGUCCACAUGCAGCAUGAGUCAGUGAAGGCCGGGGACCCGCCCCAGCAGGAGGACCCCCUGCCCAAGCAGCCCUUGUCGCAGCAGUCAGAGUCUGAACUCUCCGUGGGGGAGGCCGGAAUCACGGAGGAACCGGCGGGGAGCCUGGGCCACUUCCAGCCUGCCUCGGACUCCUCUCUGCCUCCUCUGGCUCCUCUGCCUCUGAGCACGACCGAAGCACCGCCCGCCUCCCUCUCCCUCACCCUCACACCCUCGCCCGCCCAGCCCUCCUCCGUGGUCGAGUCCGACAGCGAGGGUCCGCCCAAAAUGGAGUUUGUGGACAACCGCAUCAAGACGCUGGACGAGAAGCUGCGCAACCUGCUGUACCAGGAGCACAGUGGGGCGGCGGCACCGGGGGCAGGGGGCGGGGCUGUGGCCCCCAGCCCACCUCCAGUAUCUCAGACCGCAGCUUCCACCGCGUCCACUGGUGGGGACGAGACUUUGGAGCUCUCCACGUUCCAACCCCUGUCCGGUCACCUGCCAGGCUCCUCCUCAGACACCUCCCCUCAAUCCUCCUCCUCCACCAGCUCCACCUCCUCCUCCUCCUCGUCCACGACCUCCCGCUCCUCGUCCACCUCCCCAGAGCCCGAGGCGCAGAGGGCAGAGGAGGAGGUGGGUGCGUCGGAGCGGCCGCAGAUAGACCAAGCUCUGCCCUCUGGCUCUGGCUCUGGCUCUGGGUCAGGGUCUGCCGCCCCGCCACCCUCCUCCCUCCUGAUGCCCCAGCAGGAAGACUCUGUCGAGCCCCAGCGCCAACCUGUCCCCGGAGAACCUACUGUACUCGUAAGUUUCAUUCAUUAG
ensembl:lncRNA